GCCGCCGUAGCUCAGUGGUUAGAGCAGCGGGCUGUUAACCCGUUGGUCGGGGGUUCGAAUCCUCCCGGCGGCGCCA
rnacentral:tRNA from 1 species